GGCAAUGAUGGCGAAGAGGUCACACCCGUACCCAUUCCGAACACGGAAGUUAAGUUCUUCAGCGCCGAUGGUAGUUGGGGGUUUCCCCCUGUGAGAGUAGGACGUUGCCAG
rnacentral:rRNA from 1 species